AUAUUUAAUUACUUAAGAGUCAUUUGAUAAUUAUUUUUAUUUUAUGAAGAGUUUUUACAACUCCUUAAGUGCAACAAAAAAAUAUUUCUUUAUGAGAUGGUGAGGUUUAUAAAUGAAUCAAAUCUUAUUCUAUUUGUUAUAUUAAAAGUACAGAAAAUAUGGUAGCAGUUCUCAAGUUUAUAUAUGCUAUGUUGCUAUUUACUUCUUUAUUCCUUUUUGCAACGAACAUUGCCGGUAAGUCAUAUUUUUACCAUGCAAAUUUCCUUCCAUAUUCUGUGUUUUUACACAAUGUUUUUUAUAUAUAGAUGCAGUAUUAUUAAUUUCUUCUAUUUUUUAUAUUGUAGAAUAUAUUGAUUGUGUAGAUGAAACACAAUGCCAAGAAAAAUACAAAUGCGCUCCUGAUUUGUAUCUGAAGUGUGUUGAUACUUGGUGUCACUGUUUGAAAAACUAGGACAAAAUGCCUUAAAUUGAUGAAUAAGUGAUCAAGCUAGCAAAAUAUCUAUGUAAAAAUUGAUGAAUAAGUUAUCAAGCUAGCAUAAUAUCUAUGUAAUAAUAAGUCCUAAAUGUGAUCAUAUAUAUGGUGUCUUCUAAUUAUUAUGGUGGUAUAAAGUAAAUGUAUUUUAUAUUUAUUUCUUUUUUCUAUUUUCAUGGACAUUGCAAUUAUUAUUUUUCUACUUUAAAGCUAUUGUUAUAAUAAAAUAAGGUAG
rnacentral:lncRNA from 1 species